rnacentral:rRNA from 1 species
CCUACGGGAGGCAGCAGUGGGGAAUAUUGGACAAUGGCGGAAACGCUGAUCCAGCGACGCCGCGUGAGUGAAGAAGUAUUUCGGUACGGAAAGCCCUAUCAGCAGGGAAGAAAAUGCCGGUACCUGACUAAGAAGCACCGGCUAACUACUUGCAAGCAGCCGCGGUAAUACGUAGGGGGCGAGCGUUAUCCGGAUUUAUUGGGUUUAAAGGGUGCGUAGGCGGAUCGUUAAGUCAGUGGUCAAAUUGAGGGGCUCAACCCCUUCCCGCCAUUGAAACUGGCGCUCUUGAGUGGAAGAGAAGUAUGCGGAAUGCGUGGUGUAGCGGUGAAAUGCAUAGAUAUCACGCAGAACCCCGAUUGCGAAGGCAGCAUGCCGGCUUCCGACUGACGCUGAAGCACGAAAGCGUGGGGAUCGAACAGGAUUAGAUACCCGGGUAGUC